rnacentral:rRNA from 1 species
CCUACGGGAGGCAGCAGUAGGGAAUCUUCGUCAAUGGACGAAAGUCUGACCCAGCAACGUCGCGUGAGGGAUGACUGCCCUAUGGGUGUUAAACUUCUUUUAUAUAGAAAUAAAACGUUCCUAGUAAGGGAAUGUGUCUUUACGAUAUGAAUCCAGAUCGGCUAACUCCGUGCCAGCAGCCGCGGUAAUACGAAGGGUCGGAGGGUUAUCCGGAUGUGUUGGGUUUAAAGGGAGCGUAGGUGGAUUGUUAAGUCAGAUGUGAAAGUUCGCGGCUCAACCGGAAAAUUGCAGUUGAAACUGGCAGUCUUGAGUACAGUAGAGGUGGGUGGAAUUCGUGGUGUAGCGGUGAAAUGCGUAGAUAUAACGAAGAACUCCGAUGGCGAAGGCAGUUCACUGGACUGUAACUGACACUGAGGCUCGAAAGCGUGGGGAGCAAACAGGAUUAGAUACCCCAGUAGUC